rnacentral:lncRNA from 1 species
UUAUUAGAGAAGAAUUAGAGUCAAAUAGCUAUCGCCACCAACAUAUGGACAUCUAAUCAAAAGAAGGGUUAUAUGAGCAUUACCGCUUAUUUGAUUGAUGACAAUUGAAUGUUACAACACCAAAUUUAAAGGUAAUAAAUUUCUUUUUAAUACAUAUGUAUGUACAUUCUUUCAUUUUACUUUCAAAUUUUAUUUUGUUUAUAUGCAAAUAUAUGAAUUAUUUCUAUUUGUAUGCAAAAAUUUAGGUUUGUGUAUGUGCCCACACCUCAUACAAUGGAUGUUCUUGCACAACACUUGAUGGAGGAUUU